rnacentral:rRNA from 1 species
AUCGAACGCUGGUGGCAGUCCUAACACAUGAAAGUCGAGCGAGCGGCGGACGGGUGAGUAAUGUAUGGGGACCGCCCGAUAGAGGGGGAUCACUACUUUAUACGGUGUCUAAUACCGCAUUCUGUAUGCUAACCCAUAUGGGAUUAGCUAGUAGGUAAGGUAAUGGCUUACCUAGACGACGAUCCCUAGCUGGUCUGAGAGGAUGAUCAUCCACACUGGGACUGAGACACGGCCCAGACUCCUACGGAGGCAGCAGUGGGGAAUAUUGCACAAUGUGCGCAAGCCUGAUGCAGCCAUGCCGCGUGUAUGAAGAAGGCCCUAGGGUUGUAAAGUACGGUCAGUCGGGAGGCGUUACCGACAGAAGAAGCACCGGCUAACUCCGUGCCAGCAGCCGCGGUAAUUC